rnacentral:rRNA from 1 species
AGAGUUUGAUCCUGGCUCAGGAUGAACGCUGGCGGUGUGUCUUAGGUAUGCAAGUCGAACGGUCCGAUUUAUCGGACAGUGGCAGACGGGUGAGUAACGCGUAGGAAUCUACCCCUUAGAGAGGUAUAGCCUGCCGAAAGGUAGGGUAAUACCACAUACGCUCAUAAUCCUUAGGAUUAUGAGGAAAAGAUUCAACUUUUGUUGAGUCGCUUAGGGAGGAGCCUGCGUCCUAUCAGCUAGUUGGUGAGGUAAAGGCUCACCAAGGCCGACGGGUAGGGGGCAUGAGAGUGCGGCCCCCCACAAGGUCACUGAAACACGGGGCCUACAUCUACGGAUGGCAGCAACCGAGAAUCUUGCGCAAUGGCCGAAAGGCUGACGCAGCGACACCGCGUGUAGGAUGACGGCCUUCGGGUUGUAAACUACUGUGGAGAGGGAAGAAGUUCUGACGGUACCUUUCUAGAAAGCACCUGCUAACUACGUGCCAGCAGCCGCGGUAAAACGUAGGGUGCGAGCGUUAUCCGGAUUCAUUGGGCGUAAAGGGUUCGUAGGCGGUUUAGUAAGUAUGUUGUCAAAGCCCACUGCUCAACGGUGGAAAGGCAAUGUAAACUGCUAAACUAGUGGAUUGUUGGGGAUUUUGGAAUUCCCGGUGGAGGAGUGAAAUCCGUGGAUAUCGGGAAGAACACCAAGGGCGAAGGCAGAAAUCUAAGCAAUUCCAGACGCUGAGGAACGAAAGCUAGGGGAGCAAAGCGGAUUAGAGACCCGCGUAGUCCUAGCUGUAAACAUUUCUUGCUAGCUGUUCGGUCUUAGAUCGAGUGGCGUAAGUUAACGCGUUAAGCAAGACGCCUGGGAAGUACGACCGCAAGGUUAAAACUCAAAGGAAUUGGCGGGGGAGCGUACAACCAGUGGAGCAUGUGGUUUAAUUCGAUAUAAAGCGCAGAACCUUACCUGGACUUGACAUGUACCUGCAAGUCUGCCGAAAGGCAGAUCGCUUUCGAAGGUGGUACACAGCUGCUGCAUGGCUGUCGUCAGUUCGUGUCGUGAGACGUUCCCUUAAGUGGGGUAACGAACGCAACCCUUAUUUUAUGUUAUAUAUCAUAAAAAACUGCCUUAGUAUAUACUGGGGAGGAGGGAGGGGAUGACGUCAAGUCAGCAUGGUGCUUAUGUCCAGGGCGACACACAUCCUACAAUGGGUGCUACAAUGAGUUGCAAAGCCGCGAGGCCUAGCUAAUCUCAUAAAAGCAUUCUCAAUUCGGAUUGCAGGCUGCAAUUCGCCUGCAUGAAGUUGGAAUUGGUAGUAAUCGCGGGUCAGCAGACCGCGGUGAAUACGUUCUCGCUCCUUGCACACACUGCCCGUCAAGCGAGGAGAGCUGGGGGCGCCCGAAGUGCCUCUUUUAGAGGUCCUAAGGCGAACUCAGUAAUCAGCACUAAGUCGUAACAAGGUAACC